CACAAACUUAAUGUGCUUAAAUGGCCUGUG
rnacentral:piRNA from 1 species